rnacentral:rRNA from 1 species
AGCUCCAAUAGCGUAUAUUAAAGUUGUUGCAGUUAAAAGGCUCGUAGUUGGAUUUGUAGUUGAUUCUAGCGACCCAUCACCUAGUGUUGGUGUCUGCUGGUUUCGCCAUCCUUAAAGAGAUCUUUUGUGGCAUUAGGUUGUCGUGAAAGUUGACCUUUAUCGUUUACUGUGAGAAAAUUAGAGUGUUCAAAGCAGGCUUAUGCCUUUAUUGAAUAUGUUAGCAUGGAAUAAUAAGAUAGGACCUUGGUACUAUUUUGUUGGUUUGCGCACCGAGGUAAUGAUUAAUAGGGACAGUUGGGGGUAUUCGUAUUCCAUUGUCAGAGGUGAAAUUCUUGGAUUUCUGGAAGACGAACUACUGCGAAAGCAUUUACCAAGGAUGUUU